AUGUUUCUAUGCAGUGUCUGGUUCAUUCUUCUCUUUUCAGGUGAUGCAUGUGGAGAAGGAAUAGCUCCUCUCUCCUCGUCUGAACUUGUUACCAAUGGUGACUCCAUUACUUUGGUCUGCAAUUACAACGGGACUUACAAUAGUGAUUCUCUCCUGUGGUAUCGUCAAUACAGCAGCUCCAAACCAGAGUUUUUGUUUUUGGUUAGUGAAGCCAAAUUUGAGCAGCCAGCUGACCCUCCAAUACCUGGAGUGUUUGCUAAAUUAAAUGAGGAGAAAAACCGUGUGGUUCUGGAGAUCUCCUCUGCUUCAGUAUCAGACUCUGCUCUGUACUACUGUGCCCUGCAGCCCACAGUGACAGGAAACCCCAAAACACUGUACCAAAUUAAGGGGAAAACAACUAAACAAACAACCUGA